UAGCCUUUCAAUGCGAACGCGCACGCAGAUCGGGCUGGCAACGGGAACCAGGUAGUGACACACACCGCAUGCGCUAAAUGAAAAAAACGUUAAAAACAUGAUUCGAAAGUUCGACCCAGUGUCGAAACCUCAGAAUCGAGCGGCCCAUCACUAGCCAGGGGUCGUGAGAACAAAGUGGACGCUGGGAGGCGUGGAAUGUCGGGCUGCUUCGCAGUUUUUGGGCAGCGUCCUCUCUUCUCGCACUGUUUGUGACACUUCAAGUGCCCCGUCGGCUCCUGGGAGAGUGGAAAUCGUUUGGAAUGAGUUUAAUCGGCGCCAUCGAAGCACGACUCUGAUUGUAAAUUGCCAUGCACGACUACUUACUGUCCUUACUUAAGUGAGAUCAAAGUCAUGUGAUGAAGUCAGGUGCCCCAGCUGUAUCCUGCAGUGCCAAGAAGCUGCCCAGUGAUGGCAUUUGACCUCAACCCUUGAGAUCCAGCUGCCGUAAAACCCCAGAAGUCCCAGAAAGAGGCAUCAUUACUGGCUUGAGAAAACCACUGGACCAGGCUCCACUAGCAGCGACAGCUUCCAGAACUUCAUUUAAUGGAAUUCCUGUAUACAGGACAUAACACUGAAGAGCAUCUUUUUAUUUUUUGUUUAUUAGGUUUGUCCUCAGACAAUAAUAAGGAUGAACCAGUUGUCACCCCAAAAUUUCACUGUCUGCAGUAUGGAAUAACUAAGAAAGAAGGAUAAUUGGAUUGUUGAAAUAAUAAAAAAGUAAAAAGUUUUAUUCUUCUUAAUGGUUAAAAUAAAAAAAAAACAAACACAAUAGUGUGUUUAGCAAUAUUUCAAUAAGAAAAUAAAAAGGUUGUAACUAUUUA